GUCUUUAAUAAAAUCUAUAUUUUCUGACGUCAAGACUAGGAAAAUCUUGAAUUUUAUAACAAGACAGGAGGCUCGUAUUAUGCAUGUUCAAAGCUAUGUAGUCAUAAUAUAACAUACAUCGGAAGUUAUUACAAUAUUAUUUUUGAAACAUGCUGGCUAGGUCUAAAAUAAAACUGUUUAAAUGUAGAUUCUGAAGACCAAUCUGCUGUUUUUAAUAGAUCUGAUAAAGAGCCUCCUGCUUGAAACACUUUAGUAGUCAUAGCUCCUCUUGAUGAGUGAGCUCCAAACAUUGAAAUAUUAAUACCUGCCAUAGACAUGGUUUGUCGUACCCAUCUAGCUAAAGAUGUAGAGGAGACAGGUAGAAAAGGUUUACGAAAGGAGAUUAGUAAUUGUGAGAAAUUAGAAUUUCGAAUCAAAGAGGUUUUAAACUCAUAUGUUUGAAGACAACUAACAACACAUAGAAGAGGAUGGUCAGAAAAUGAAGGAUAGAAUACAGUACGGAGAUUAGUUUUGGUACGUCUAACAAUAGAAAAUGUAACACCAUCAGGAGUAUAUUGUCUAUUAUUUAAGUCUAAAGCCUUAACGUCAGAAACUCUUUUGAAAGAGAUGAGACAUAGUAAAGUGGUAAGCUUAAGCGAAAGCAAUUUUAAGGAUAAUGAAUCAUUGGCCCCCCCAUGAUUCUAUCAACUGGAGUACCAGAGUAACAUCCCAGGUGGAAUUAUAUUUAGGGCAUGGAGGACGUUUAAAUCUGAUACCCUUCAUAAGUCUGCAGACUAGAGGAUGUUUACCCACAAGGAAAAAUUCAAUAGGGUCGUGAUUCGCUGAGAUAGCGGAUCUAUAGACAUUAAUGGUGCGAUAAGCUUUCCCUGAAUCAAAAGAGGCUGACAAAAAAUUUAGAAUGUUUGCUAAAUCUGAAUGUAUGGGAUCCACUGCCCGUUCCAUGCACCAAUUAAGCCAAAUUUUCCAGGCUGAUCUGUAAUUUGCACGGGUUCCCGGUGCCCAUGCUUCUGAGAGAAUGAUUCUAGUAGUGUUUGAAAAUUCACUAUGAGAUUCGAAUGGCCCGAAAUGAGGGAUGCAAUCAGGGGUAAUUGGCCCGACAGUACUAGAGGAUGACAAUUUCCCUUCGGGUCGCGAAGAGAAUCCCGACGCAUCUGUAUGAGUCGAGGGUAGUCUAUCAGCAUGCUGAGAAGCUGAGGGAACCAUGGUUGUGAUGGCCAGAGAGGGGUUAUAAUCACUAAGGUCGAUUUCUGGGACCAUGCUUUCAGAAGUACCCGGGAUAUCAUCGUAAAUGGGGGGAAAGCAUAAUUGACCCCUUCCUUCCAACAUUGGAGGAAAGCAUCUUGAUCUACUGCUUCUGGAUCCGGCCGCCAACUGAAAAAUGUUUCCAAUUGGCGAUUGAGCCGUGAUGCAAAGAGGUCGUAUCUAAAUGGACCCCACAGGGCAAGUAUUUGUUGG